rnacentral:rRNA from 1 species
AUUUAUCAUAAAAUAUAACUUAUAGUUUAUUCCAAUUAAAUUGCUUGCAUUUUAACACAGAAUAAAUGUUAUUAAUUUGAUAAAGUGCUGAUAGAUUUAUAUGAUUACAGUGCGUUAAUUUUUCGGAAUUAUAUAAUGGCAUAAUUAUCAUUGAUUUUUGUGUUUAUUAUAUGCACUUGUAUGAUUAACAAUGCGAAAGAUUCAGGAUACCUUCGGGACCCGUCUUGAAACACGGACCAAGGAGUCUAACAUAUGUGCAAGUUAUUGGGAUAUAAACCUAAUAGCGUAAUUAACUUGACUAAUAAUGGGAUUAGUUUUUUAGCUAUUUAUAGCUAAUUAACACAAUCCCGGGGCGUUCUAUAUAGUUAUGUAUAAUGUAUAUUUAUAUUAUUUAUGCCUCUAACUGGAACGUACCUUGAGCAUAUAUGCUGUGACCCGAAAGAUGGUGAACUAUACUUGAUCAGGUUGAAGUCAGGGGAAACCCUGAUGGAAGACCGAAACAGUUCUGACGUGCAAAUCGAUUGUCAGAAUUGAGUAUAGGGGCGAAAGACCAAUCGAACCAUCUAGUAGCUGGUUCCUUCCGAAGUUUCCCUCAGGAUAGCUGGUGCAUUUUAAUAUUAUAUAAAAUAAUCUUAUCUGGUAAAGCGAAUGAUUAGAGGCCUUAGGGUCGAAACGAUCUUAACCUAUUCUCAAACUUUAAAUGGGUAAGAACCUUAACUUUCUUGAUAUGAAGUUCAAGGUUAUGAUAUAAUGUGCCCAGUGGGCCACUUUUGGUAAGCAGAACUGGCGCUGUGGGAUGAACCAAACGUAAUGUUACGGUGCCCAAAUUAACAACUCAUGCAGAUACCAUGAAAGGCGUUGGUUGCUUAAAACAGCAGGACGGUGAUCAUGGAAGUCGAAAUCCGCUAAGGAGUGUGUAACAACUCACCUGCCGAAGCAACUAGCCCUUAAAAUGGAUGGCGCUUAAGUUGUAUACCUAUACAUUACCGCUAAAGUAGAUGAUUUAUAUUACUUGUGAUAUAAAUUUUGAAACUUUAGUGAGUAGGAAGGUACAAUGGUAUGCGUAGAAGUGUUUGGCGUAAGCCUGCAUGGAGCUGCCAUUGGUACAGAUCUUGGUGGUAGUAGCAAAUAAUCGAAUGAGACCUUGGAGGACUGAAGUGGAGAAGGGUUUCGUGUGAACAGUGGUUGAUCACGAGUUAGUCGGUCCUAAGUUCAAGGCGAAAGCCGAAAAUUUUCAAGUAAAACAAAAAUGCCUAACUAUAUAAACAAAGCGAAUUAUAAUACACUUGAAUAAUUUUGAACGAAAGGGAAUACGGUUCCAAUUCCGUAACCUGUUGAGUAUCCGUUUGUUAUUAAAUAUGGGCCUCGUGCUCAUCCUGGCAACAGGAACGACCAUAAAGAAGCCGUCGAGAGAUAUCGGAAGAGUUUUCUUUUCUGUUUUAUAGCCGUACUACCAUGGAAGUCUUUCGCAGAGAGAUAUGGUAGAUGGGCUAGAAGAGCAUGACAUAUACUGUUGUGUCGAUAUUUUCUCCUCGGACCUUGAAAAUUUAUGGUGGGGACACGCAAACUUCUCAACAGGCCGUACCAAUAUCCGCAGCUGGUCUCCAAGGUGAAGAGUCUCUAGUCGAUAGAAUAAUGUAGGUAAGGGAAGUCGGCAAAUUAGAUCCGUAACUUCGGGAUAAGGAUUGGCUCUGAAGAUUGAGAUAGUCGGGCUUGAUUGGGAAACAAUAACAUGGUUUAUGUGCUCGUUCUGGGUAAAUAGAGUUUCUAGCAUUUAUGUUAGUUACUUGUUCCCCGGAUAGUUUAGUUACGUAGCCAAUUGUGGAACUUUCUUGCUAAAAUUUUUAAGAAUACUAUUUGGGUUAAACCAAUUAGUUCUUAUUAAUUAUAACGAUUAUCAAUUAACAAUCAAUUCAGAACUGGCACGGACUUGGGGAAUCCGACUGUCUAAUUAAAACAAAGCAUUGUGAUGGCCCUAGCGGGUGUUGACACAAUGUGAUUUCUGCCCAGUGCUCUGAAUGUCAAAGUGAAGAAAUUCAAGUAAGCGCGGGUCAACGGCGGGAGUAACUAUGACUCUCUUAAGGUAGCCAAAUGCCUCGUCAUCUAAUUAGUGACGCGCAUGAAUGGAUUAACGAGAUUCCUACUGUCCCUAUCUACGCGUGUGACGCGCAUGAAUGGAUUAACGACGGACGUGUUUUCGUUGCGCUCGUGGACAUAGUGCGAAGAACUUUGUUUUCCGUAUUUGGAAGUAUACGAAUAAAUAAUUUAGUGUUCCGUGGAAGUGGUGCGCAAAUUUUCGCGAAUUAAAAACAAGCGGUUUGGAAGUAAUUGACAAUAAAUUAUUGGAAAUUUUCCACUCCGCACGUGUUGAGCGGCGAGCUUGCGGGUGAGCUUUUCGAACAGCUGAGAGAAGCUUAUUGGUGGUAGUCACCGCUAAGGAUUGUGUCUUGGGACAGCUUAGUGCACUCUACCAAUAGGUGGAGCUAUCACCAUAGCAACUAGCCCGUGUCAGCGAGCAUACGAUUGCUGGACUCGUCAAAAGGAGGAGCCACCAUCGGAGCAACGCCGAUGGAGAGCGACAGCAGUGUGAGUGCCUUGAGCGGAAGCAGUGCCUCAAAGGUGUCAAGACGAGGCAGGCGUAGAGGCCAUCUGGCCUCCAAGAGCUCGGCGCCAACGCAGGCGAAGCUGGUUGCCCUGGCCUCGAAUGGAGUGCCAGAACCCGUUGGUGUGCUGGAGGAGACGUUUUCAUCGCUGGAGGAUGCCCGGGCGGCUACGUCAAGCGCUGCCAACGAUGCUGCCCCCCCCGCUGCUGCCCCCGCUGUUGAUCACACUGUUGCCCCUGAUGUUUCCACUGCUGCUAAAAUCGCUGCCACCACUGCCACCACUGCCACCGCUGCCACCGCUGCCGCCCGUGCUGGGCAAGCAGCCAUGAUGGCAGAGCUGUCGGCCACCCAGCGCAUGGUGCGAAGCAGUUUCCGCAGCCUAGGAGGCGUAGACACGGAAGAGCUCUCGUGUGCCAUCAGCCGCUAUGAUGAGCUGGUGAUGGCGUUAAUGCUCCGGUGUGGAGAACUGGAGACGCGGCUCGCUAUGCCACCACCGCCGCCGCCGCCGUCCAAGGCGAACACUACUGCCGCCAAUGCUCCAGAUGCCUCAGGUUGCACCCAUCGCUGCCCCGCGGACAACCAAGGUUCGU